rnacentral:lncRNA from 1 species
AAGAUCUCAAUCUCAAAAGUGGGAAACUGAUUCUAAAUUUGAUUGAUAAUUAUGAUUUUGCUCAAAGUACAAAUCUAGACAUACAAGAUAUAGCCCCUUGCACCACCUCUAGUAUGCAUCAUCCCUUACCUCAUACAAACCACCAUAGUGACAUACAACCACCAAACACUUAUGUUGACAUUUUAUUUCUUGCAUUCUCGUUGCUUUUCAUCAUUUCUAUUUCAAUUACACUCCAGCCAUACCAGUUGUGCAUUCAUAGUUUCUUGUAUUAGUUGGAUUUUUCUUCACCAAGAGUUUGUAUUUUGUCUUUUUGGAAACAUUCACAAUACUGCAAUUUGUUUCUAAUAAAUAGAAUACUUUCUUUCUGACGUAGAAGAUCAAAUUAAAAUGUAACCAUAGACCAUAAUAAGAUCUUCUAUGUGAAUGGCACUAAAAAAGGCUUUCUUGAUAAGUCGUAUUUUGUUAGACCCAAGGGUAAAAUUGUAAUUUCAUAAUGUACAUGGAAAAUUUGUAAUUUCUGUAAAAAAAUGGGGCAAAAGUUCAGGGGGUAACUUUGUAAUAUUGAAAAGUUUAGGGGAAAAUUUGUAAUUUUAAAAGUUUUUGGGGCAAAUAUGUAAUUUCAAAUAAUUUUUUAUAACAUGGCAUAGAACCAUCAUAGUUGACAUACAACCACUUAGUCACUUACGAUGACAUUUUAUUUCUUACAUUCUCAUUACUUCAUUACAAUUCUUUCUGAGGCCUCUAGGAUUACUAUAAAUAAG